GUUGACCUCGGAUCAGGUAGGAAUACCCGCUGAACUUAAGCAUAUCAAUAAGCGGAGGAAAAGAAACCAACAGGGAUUGCCUCAGUAACGGCGAGUGAAGCGGCAACAGCUCAAAUUUGAAAUCUGGCCCUAGGCCCGAGUUGUAAUUUGCAGAGGAUGCUUUUGGCAAGGUGCCUUCCGAGUUCCCUGGAACGGGACGCCAUAGAGGGUGAGAGCCCCGUCUGGUCGGACACCGAGCCUCUGUAAAGCUCCUUCGACGAGUCGAGUAGUUUGGGAAUGCUGCUCAAAAUGGGAGGUAUAUGUCUUCUAAAGCUAAAUACCGGCCAGAGACCGAUAGCGCACAAGUAGAGUGAUCGAAAGAUGAAAAGCACUUUGAAAAGAGAGUUAAAUAGCACGUGAAAUUGUUGAAAGGGAAGCGUUUAUGACCAGACUUGGCCCGGUUGAUCAUCCAGCCUUCUGGCUGGUGCACUCUGCCGGUCCAGGCCAGCAUCAGUUCGUCGCGGGGGAUAAAGGUUUCGGGAAUGUAUCUCCUCCGGGAGUGUUAUAGCCCGUUGCGUAAUACCCUGCGGUGGACUGAGGUCCGCGCUCUGCAAGGAUGCUGGCGUAAUGGUCAUCAACGAC
rnacentral:rRNA from 1 species